rnacentral:rRNA from 1 species
UAGAGUUUGAUCCUGGCUCAGAACGAACGCUGGCGGCGUGGAUAAGACAUGCAAGUCGAACGAGAGAAUUGCUAGCUUGCUAAUAAUUCUCUAGUGGCGCACGGGUGAGUAACACGUGAGUAACCUGCCCCCGAGAGCGGGAUAGCCCUGGGAAACUGGGAUUAAUACCGCAUAGUAUCGAAAGAUUAAAGCAGCAAUGCGCUUGGGGAUGGGCUCGCGGCCUAUUAGUUAGUUGGUGAGGUAACGGCUCACCAAGGCGAUGACGGGUAGCCGGUCUGAGAGGAUGUCCGGCCACACUGGAACUGAGACACGGUCCAGACACCUACGGGUGGCAGCAGUCGAGAAUCAUUCACAAUGGGGGAAACCCUGAUGGUGCGACGCCGCGUGGGGGAAUGAAGGUCUUCGGAUUGUAAACCCCUGUCAUGUGGGAGCAAAUUAAAAAGAUAGUACCACAAGAGGAAGAGACGGCUAACUCUGUGCCAGCAGCCGCGGUAAUACAGAGGUCUCAAGCGUUGUUCGGAAUCACUGGGCGUAAAGCGUGCGUAGGCUGUUUCGUAAGUCGUGUGUGAAAGGCGCGGGCUCAACCCGCGGACGGCACAUGAUACUGCGAGACUAGAGUAAUGGAGGGGGGACCGGAAUUCUCGGUGUAGCAGUGAAAUGCGUAGAUAUCGAGAGGAACACUCGUGGCGAAGGCGGGUUCCUGGACAUUAACUGACGCUGAGGCACGAAGGCCAGGGGAGCGAAAGGGAUUAGAUACCCCUGUAGUCCUGGCAGUAAACGGUGCAUGCUUGGUGUGCGGGGAAUCGACCCCCUGCGUGCCGGAGCUAACGCGUUAAGCGUGCCGCCUGGGGAGUACGGUCGCAAGAUUAAAACUCAAAGAAAUUGACGGGGACCCGCACAAGCGGUGGAGUAUGUGGCUUAAUUCGAUGCAACGCGAAGAACCUUACCUGGGCUUGACAUGUAAUGAACAACAUGUGAAAGCAUGCGACUCUUCGGAGGCGUUACACAGGUGCUGCAUGGCCGUCGUCAGCUCGUGUCGUGAGAUGUUUGGUUAAGUCCAGCAACGAGCGCAACCCCUGUUGCCAGUUACCAGCACGUGAAGGUGGGGACUCUGGCGAGACUGCCCAGAUCAACUGGGAGGAAGGUGGGGACGACGUCAGGUCAGUAUGGCCCUUAUGCCCAGGGCUGCACACGUACUACAAUGCCCAGUACAGAGGGGGCCGAAGCCGCGAGGCGGAGGAAAUCCUAAAAACUGGGCCCAGUUCGGACUGUAGGCUGCAACCCGCCUACACGAAGCCGGAAUCGCUAGUAAUGGCGCAUCAGCUACGGCGCCGUGAAUACGUUCCCGGGUCUUGCACACACCGCCCGUCA